UAUUUCCACUGCGACAUACACAAUCUGAACUAUGCUUUUUCUAAUUAUUUCACCGUUUUAUUAAAGUUAACGUAACAACUGACGUCACCACCGACGUCAUCACACACAUGACGUCAAUGCCGAUAACAAGCAAAUACGGAGGGACGACGCCGCCUUAUUUCGUGAUCGGUAUAGUGUUGGGAAUGGCGGCCGCAGUGAUAUUAUUGAUAAUUUGUAUAAAGCUAAGGUAGGUAACAAGGGUUACGUGUCUUGUUUCGUACCCUCCUGCUAUCUUACGAAUUACCAUGUAUGUAACUUAUUUAUCCUCGCAUGGCGGAGCAACGCCAGUCGUUAUAACAGGGGUGUUCUGUUUCAUGCACCUCCAACCAGCUUACGAGUUACCACGUAUGUGACUACUUUGUGGGUGGAUAAAAUGUAUGACUGACAAUUUGGACAACCUACUAGUUUCCACUGGGGUUGGGGCAAUUGUCGUUAAUUUUUUGCCCAGGGGCCGAAAAGUGACGACCCUAACAACUGUUGUGCCACAUUUUUAGAAGAUAUAACAUGUAUGCAAAAAUAGCGUAAAAAUAUUCAAACGUUUUUUUAGGAAAAAGAACAGCGGGAAAGAUUCAAGCACAUUAGAUGUCACUCAAGAGCCGGACUACCAAGGCACUAGUUCAGAUCAAAAUCCGGGACAGCAAGAAGUCAUAUACAGUAGUAUAGGUGAAGCAACAAACGAUCAAAAUGACGUCACAAUCAAUCAGGAUGACGUGUACAGCGUGCCUCGUGGUGGGAAACGUGAAAA